rnacentral:tRNA from 1 species
GGAUAGGUUAGUUCAGUGGUGGAACAUCUGGCUCUUUAACCGGAUUGACGCAGGUUCGAGCCCUGCACCUAUCCU